CGUAGCCACGGUAAUACGGAGGGUGCAAGCGUUAAUCGGAAUUACUGGGCGUAAAGCGCACGCAGGCGGUCUGACAAGUCAGAUGUGAAAUCCCCGGGCUUAACCUGGGAACUGCAUUUGAAACUGUCAGGCUGGAGUCUUGUAGAGGGGGGUGGAAUUCCAGGUGUAGCGGUGAAAUGCGUAGAGAUCUGGAGGAAUACCGGUGGCGAAGGCGGCCCCCUGGACAAAGACUGACGCUCAGGUGCGAAAGCGUGGGGAGCAAACAGGAUUAGAUACCCGCGUAGUCCCUGUCUCUUAUACA
rnacentral:rRNA from 1 species